rnacentral:rRNA from 1 species
CGGCGGACGGGUGAGUAAUGUAUGGGGAUCUGCCUGAUGGCGGGGGAUAACUACUGGAAACGGUAGCUAAUACCGCAUAAUGUCUGCGGACCAAAGCGGGGGACCUCCGGGCCUCGCGCCAUCAGAUGAACCCAUAUGGGAUUAGCUUGUAGGUAAGGUAACGGCUUACCUAGGCGACGAUCCCUAGCUGGUCUGAGAGGAUGACCAGCCACACUGGAACUGAGACACGGUCCAG